AGGAGCGGAAGCAUCGGAAGGUGUCGGGGCUAGUUCGCCGGGGCUAACUCCGGGACCUUCCGGUGCAGGUGGAGAAGCGGUAGGGGCAUCAGACGACGGAGAAGGAGCUGAAGACGGAGGAGAAGAGGUGGGGGCAGGGGAGACGGCAGGUGGUGGAGUGGUGGUCGGAGCGGGAGUUGCGGCGGGUGGUGGAGUGGCAACGGGAGGAGGAGUGACGGUGGUGGUUGGAGAAGGAGCUGGAGCUUGAGCGAGGCAUGAGGUAGUGAAGAGAGCAACGAUGAAGAAAGCUUCGAUGAUCUUCGAAUUCAUUUUUUCCACUCUCUCUAAAGAUUUGUUUACUUAAGAAAGAUAGAGAG
rnacentral:lncRNA from 1 species